UAAAUAGCCAGGCCGGCUUUGGCUGGUCGUCGGCUUCUUAGAGGGACUAACGGCGUCUAGCCGUUGGAAGUUUGAGGCAAUAACAGGUCUGUGAUGCCCUUAGAUGUUCUG
rnacentral:rRNA from 1 species